rnacentral:siRNA from 1 species
UUGUCACAAAACAGUUUAGCUGA